AUUGAACGCUGGCGGCAGGCCUAACACAUGCAAGUCGAAUGGUAACAGGAAACAGCUUGCUGUUUCGCUGACGAGUGGCGGACGGGUGAGUAAUGUCUGGGAAACUGCCUGAUGGAGGGGGAUAACUACUGGAAACGGUAGCUAAUACCGCAUAACGUCGCAAGACCAAAGAGGGGGACCUUCGGGCCUCUUGCCAUCAGAUGUGCCCAGAUGGGAUUAGCUAGUAGGUGGGGUAACGGCUCACCUAGGCGACGAUCCCUAGCUGGUCUGAGAGGAUGACCAGCCACACUGGAACUGAGACACGGUCCAGACUCCUACGGGAGGCAGCAGUGGGGAAUAUUGCACAAUGGGCGCAAGCCUGAUGCAGCCAUGCCGCGUGUUUGAAGAAGGCCUUCGGGUUGUAAAGUACUUUCAGCGGGGAGGAAGGGAGUAAAGUUAAUACCUUUGCUCAUUGACGUUACCCGCAGAAGAAGCACCGGCUAACUCCGUG
rnacentral:rRNA from 1 species